AAGAAACUAGUUAAUAUUUAUAAUAUAGGAUUGUCAAUCCUAAGUAACUUAAUAAAGUGUUUCUUG
rnacentral:tRNA from 1 species